rnacentral:rRNA from 1 species
AACGAACGCUGGCGGCAGGCUUAACACAUGCAAGUCGAGCGCCCCGCAAGGGGAGCGGCAGACGGGUGAGUAACGCGUGGGAAUCUACCCAUCUCUACGGAAUAACGCAUGGAAACGUGUGCUAAUACCGUAUACGUACUUCGGGAGAAAGAUUUAUCGGAGAUGGAUGAACCCGCGUUGGAUUAGCUAGUUGGUGGGGUAAAGGCCUACCAAGGCGACGAUCCAUAGCUGGUCUGAGAGGAUGAUCAGCCACACUGGGACUGAGACACGGCCCAGACUCCUACGGGAGGCAGCAGUGGGGAAUAUUGGACAGUGGGCGCAAGCCUGAUCCAGCCAUGCCGCGUGAGUGAUGAAGGCCCUAUGGUUGUAAAGCUCUUUCACCGGUGAAGAUAAUGACGGUAACCGGAGAAGAAGCCCCGGCUAACUUCGUGCCAGCCGCCGCAGUAAUAC